CCUACGGGUGGCUGCAGUGGGGAAUAUUGGACAAUGGGCGAAAGCCUGAUCCAGCCAUGCCGCGUGUGUGAAGAAGGCCUUCGGGUUGUAAAGCACUUUCAGUGGGGAAGAAAGCCUUGGGGCUAAUACCCUCGAGGAAGGACAUCACCCACAGAAGAAGCACCGGCUAACUCCGUGCCAGCAGCCGCGGUAAUACGGAGGGUGCGAGCGUUAAUCGGAAUUACUGGGCGUAAAGCGCGCGUAGGCGGUCUGAUAAGCCGGUUGUGAAAGCCCCGGGCUCAACCUGGGAACGGCAUCCGGAACUGUCAGGCUAGAGUGCAGGAGAGGAAGGUAGAAUUCCCGGUGUAGCGGUGAAAUGCGUAGAGAUCGGGAGGAAUACCAGUGGCGAAGGCGGCCUUCUGGACUGACACUGACGCUGAGGUGCGAAAGCGUGUGUAGCAAACAGGAUUAGAUACCCCAGUAGUC
rnacentral:rRNA from 1 species